CUGGGAUUGAUUUUGGGGGUAAUUGCCUCAAAAUAUUAGGAAUUAGGGGCCAAAAAACAAGCAUUUUUCUAGUUUCAUGACAAUAACUUGUGUGUAAGUGUAUGGAUCUUUCUGAAAUUGUACUACAAGGUUCCAUAUCACAAAGGGAAAGCUGGAAUAGAGUUUGGGGGUAAUUGCCCGAAACGUUUAGGAAUAAGGGGCCAAAAAGGGGCCAAAAAUAAGCAUUUUUCUAGUUUCAUGACAAUAACUUGUGUUCAAGUGUAUGGAUCUCUCUGAAAUUGUACCACAAGGUUCCAUAUCACACAGGGAAUGCUGGGAUUGAUUUUGGGGGUAAUUGCCUCAAAAUAUUAGGAAUUAGGGGCCAAAAAAGGGGCAAAAAACAAGCAUUUUUCUAGUUUCAUGAUAAUAACUUGUGUGUAAGUGUAUGGAUCUUUCUGAAAUUAUACUACAAGGUUCCAUAUCACAAAGGGAAAGCUGGAAUUGAGUUUGGGGGUAAUUGCCCAAAACGUUUAGGAAUAAGGGGCCAAAAAGGGGCCAAAAAUAAGCAUUUUUCUAGUUUCCAGACAAUAACUUGUGUUCAAGUGUAUGGAUCUCUGUGAAAUUGUACUGCAAGGUACCAUACCACAAAGGGAAGGUUGGGAUUGAGUUUGGGGGUGAUGAAUCAUAAGGGGGUUCAAAAAAUUUGGGGGGGGGAUUUUUUUUUUUUUCCUUUUUUUUCUUUUUUUCCUUUUUUUUUUCUUUUAAAAUUUUCCAUUUUAAGUUGGUUAUUUCUGUUUUAUAUUUAAAAGCAAAUAAUUAUGAUAUGGUAGGAGAUACACACCAAACAGGAUGUGUAAAUUAUUAUAUAAUAAGUAUUGUGCAAUAGCAAGAAAUUUUCAAUUGCACAGUAUUGCACAAUAGCAAGAAAUCUUCAAUUGCACAGUAUUGCGCAAUAGCAAGAAAUCUUCAAUUGCACAGUAUUGUGCAAUAGCAAGAAAUAUCCAAUAGCACAAUAUUGCACAAUAGCAAGAAAUUGUCAAUUGUACAGUAUUGCGCAAUAGCAAGAAAUAUUCAAUUGCACAGUAUUGUGCAAAAGAAGAUACUUCGUAUAAAUUGCUUAUUUCUUGACCAAUUUCAAUGGGGUUUUUUAUUCUUGAAUUCUUGGGGUUCUUUAAUAUGCUGAUUCUAACCGUGUAUUAAGUUUUUGGAUUUUGGGCCCCGUUUUUAAAUUGGUCCAAAGGGUCCAAAAUUUAACUUUGUUUGAUUUCAUCAAAAAUUGAAUUAUUGGGGUUCUUUGAUAUGCCGAAUCUAACCGUGUAUUUAGAUUCUUAAUUUUUGGUUCCGUUUUCAAAUUGGUCUACAUUAAGGUCCAAAGGGUCCAAAAUUAAACUUAGUUUGAUUUUAACAAAAAUUGAAUUCUUAGGGUUCUUUGAUAUGCUGAAUCUAAACAUGUAUUUAGAUUUUUGAUUAUGGGCCCAGUUUUCAAAUUGGUCUACAUUAAGGUCCAAAGGGUCCAAAAUUAAACUUUUUUGUUUGAUUUUAGCAAAAAUUGAAUAUAUGAGGUUCUUUGAUAUGCUGAAUCUGAACAUGUAUUUAGAUUUUUGAUUUUUGGCCCUGUUUUCAAGUUGGUCCAAAUUGGGGUCCAAAAUUAAACUUUGUUUGAUUUCAACAAAAAUUGAAUAUAUGGGGUUCUUUGAUAUGCUGAAUCUAACCAUGUAUUUAGAUUUUUUUUGUGGACCCCGUUAUCAAAUUGGUUCUUAUUAAGGUCAAAAGGGUCCAAAAUUAAACUUAGUCUGAUUUUAACAAAAAUUGAAUUCUUGGGGUUCUUUGAUAUGCUGAAUCUAAACAUGUGUUUAGAUUUUUGAUUAUGGGCCCAGUUUUCAAGUUGGUCCAAGAUAGGGUCCAGUAUUUAAACUUUGUUUGAUUUCAACAAAAAUUGAAUAUAUGGGGUUCUUUGAUAUGCUGAAUCUAAACAUGUAUUUAGAUUUUUGAUUAUGGGUCCAGUUUUCAAGUUGGUCCAAAUUGGGGUCCAAAAUUAAACUUUUUUUGUUUGAUUUCAACAAAAAUUGAAUAUAUGAGGUUCUUUGAUAUGCUGAAUCUAACCAUGUAUUUAGAUUUUUUAUUUGUGAUCCCGCUAUCAAAUUGGUUCAUAUUGAGGUCAAAAGGGUCCAAAAUUAAACUUUGUUUGAUUUCAUCAAAAAUUGAAUUAUUGGGGUUCUUUGAUAUGCCAAAUCUAACCGUGUUUUUAGAUUUUUAAUUUGGGUCCCGUUUUUUAAAUUGGUCUUCAUUGAGGUCCAAAGGGUCCAAAAUUAAACUUAGUUUGAUUUUAACAAAAAUUGAAUUCUUGGGGUUCUUUGAUAUGCUGAAUCUAAACAUGUGUUUAGAUUUUUGAUUAUAGGCCCAGUUUUCAAGUUGGUCCAAGUUGGGGUCCAAAAUUAAACUUUUUUUGAUUUCAACAAAAAUUGAAUAUAUGGGGUUCUUUGAUAUGCUGAAUCUAACCAUGUAUUUAGAUUUUUUAUUUGUGAACCCCAUUAUCAUAUUGGUUCAUAUUAAGGUCAAAAGGGUCCAAAAUUAAACUUUGUUUGAUUUCAUCAAAAAUUGAAUUAUUGGGGUUCUUUGAUAUUCCAAAUCUAACCGUGUAUUUAGAUUUUUAAUUUUAAGUCCCGUUUUUUAAAUUGGUCUACAUUAAAGUCCAAAGGGUCCAAAAUUAAACUUAGUUUGAUUUUAGCAAAAAUUGAAUUCUUGGGGUUCUUUGAUAUGCUGAAUCUAAACAUGUAUUUAGAUUUUUGAUUAUGGGUCCAGUUUUCAAGUUGGUCCAAAUUGGGGUCCAAAAUUAAACUUUGUUUGAUUUCAACAAAAAUUGAAUAUAUGGGGUUCUUUGAUAUGCUGAAUCUAACCAUGUAUUUUGGUUUUGGACAUUGGACCAUAAUAGGUAAAUUAAAAAAAUUGAAGUUCUUAGACCACAUUCUUUCUGUGUCAGAAACCUAUGCUGUGUCAAAUAUUUAAUCACAAUCCAAAUUCAGAGCUGUAUCAAGCUUGAAUGUUGUGUCCAUACUUGCCCCAACUGUUCAGGGUUCGACCUCUGCGGUCGUAUCAAGCUGCGCCCAGCGAAGCAUUUUAUUUAAAUUGGUCUACAUUAAGGUCCAAAGAGUCCAAAAUUAAACUUAGUUUGAUUUUAACAAAAAUUGAAUUCUUGGGGUACUUUGAUAUGCUGAAUCUAAACAUGUGUUUAGAUUUUUGAUUAUGGGACCAGUUUUCAAGUUUGUCCAAGUUGGGGUCCAAAAUUAAACUUUGUUUGAUUUCAACAAAAAUUGAAUAUAUGGGGUUCUUUGAUAUGCUGAAUCUAACCAUGUAUUAUGAUUUUGGACAUUGGACCAUAAUAGGUAAAUUAAAAAAAUUGAAGUUCUUAGACCACAUUCUUUCUGUGUCAGAAACCUAUGCUAUGUCAAAUAUUUAAUCACAAUCCAAAUUCAGAGCUGUAUCAAGCUUGAAUGUUGUGUCCAUACUUGCCCCAACUGUUCAGGGUUCGACCUCUGCGGUCGUAUCAAGCUGCGCCCAGCGAAGCAUUUUAUUCAAGAAUUUUCUACUUAAUAAAGUAGAAUUAUUGGUUCUCUUUAUGAUUUGAAUUUUUUUUUAUGACAAUUUAUACCCAAUACCAUGUCUGAGAAUACAGGACAAUAUUCCUAAAACAAUGAAAAAUAAUGAUCCUUCUUUGAAAGGGGAGAAUUUUUAUAAACGUUUGUUUUGGAGAUAUGACCUUAAAAAUAAUUUUGGAAAAAUAAUUAGUAAUACAUUGUAUAUUCCUUGCUAGCAUCUUUUGUUACUAUAGUACUACAUAAUUGUUUGAAUAUGCAGAUAAUCAUCAGAUUAAGAUUUUCCAACUAUUUAAAUACUGGUAAAGUUAUGUGUGUUUGAUAUUUUAAUUAGAAUGUAUGUUAAAUUUGACCCAGGUAAUCAUGAUACGGUGUUAGUUAGAAAAAGGGCUGACAUAUAAAUUAUUUUAUUCACACUGGUCUGCCUUUGACCCUUAUUAAGGACUAGAAAAUAUAUAUGAUCACAUAUUGUGAUACUUUGGUUAAAAGUAGGUUUUAUGGAAUAAAAUUAUUCCUUUCUGGUAUAAAAUGAAUUUAAUU